UACGGAGGGUGCAAGCGUUAUCCGGAUUCACUGGGUUUAAAGGGUGCGUAGGUGGGUUGGUAAGUCAGUGGUGAAAUCUCCAGGCUUAACUUGGAAACUGCCAUUGAUACUAUCAAUCUUGAAUACCGUGGAGGUCAGCGGAAUAUGUCAUGUAGCGGUGAAAUGCUUAGAUAUGACAUAGAACACCUAUUGCGAAGGCAGCUUACUACGCAUAUAUUGACGCUGAGGCACGAAAGCGUGGGGAUCAAACAGG
rnacentral:rRNA from 1 species